AGAGUUUGAUCCUGGCUCAGGAUGAACGCUAGCUACAGGCUUAACACAUGCAAGUCGAGGGGCAGCAUGAACUUAGCUUGCUAAGUUUGAUGGCGACCGGCGCACGGGUGAGUAACACGUAUCCAACCUUCCGUUUACUCAGGGAUAGCCUUUCGAAAGAAAGAUUAAUACCUGAUAGUAUGGUGAGAUUGCAUGAUAGCACCAUUAAAGAUUUAUUGGUAAACGAUGGGGAUGCGUUCCAUUAGGUAGUAGGCGGGGUAACGGCCCACCUAGCCGACGAUGGAUAGGGGUUCUGAGAGGAAGGUCCCCCACAUUGGAACUGAGACACGGUCCAAACUCCUACGGGAGGCAGCAGUGAGGAAUAUUGGUCAAUGGGCGAGAGCCUGAACCAGCCAAGUAGCGUGAAGGAUGAAGGUCCUACGGAUUGUAAACUUCUUUUAUACGGGAAUAAAGUAUCCUACGUGUAGGAUUUUGUAUGUACCGUAUGAAUAAGCAUCGGCUAACUCCGUGCCAGCAGCCGCGGUAAUACGGAGGAUGCGAGCGUUAUCCGGAUUUAUUGGGUUUAAAGGGAGCGCAGACGGGAGAUUAAGUCAGUUGUGAAAGUUUGCGGCUCAACCGUAAAAUUGCAGUUGAUACUGGUUUCCUUGAGUGCAGUUGAGGCAGGCGGAAUUCGUGGUGUAGCGGUGAAAUGCUUAGAUAUCACGAAGAACCCCGAUUGCGAAGGCAGCUUGCUAAACUGUAACUGACGUUCAUGCUCGAAAGUGUGGGUAUCAAACAGGAUUAGAUACCCUGGUAGUCCACACGGUAAACGAUGGAUACUCGCUGUUGGCGAUAUACUGUCAGCGGCCAAGCGAAAGCAUUAAGUAUCCCACCUGGGGAGUACGCCGGCAACGGUGAAACUCAAAGGAAUUGACGGGGGCCCGCACAAGCGGAGGAACAUGUGGUUUAAUUCGAUGAUACGCGAGGAACCUUACCCGGGCUUAAAUUGCAGACGA
rnacentral:rRNA from 1 species